UAAGGUUUUAUGUUGAAUCUAAUUUAUUUUGGUUUAAUAAGUUACAAUUGAUACAGCUCAACUGAUAUAACUGAUACAGUUCAACUGAUACAAUUGAUACAGUUUUAAAGAGCAGAGUUAAGACUUCAAAAUAACCGCAGUGCUUAAAGUACUUGUCAUAAUAUUGCCACUAAGAGGAGCCAAGAAGCCAGGGAAGCAAGAGAGGCAAAAGACACUAACAAUGCAUCAAACAAAGACAAGAAAAGAGAUUCAGAUUUUUGCAAAUAUAAAUAAAAGAAAAUUGCUCCUCUAUUUUCCCCUCAAUCUUAUAAAAAACAAGAGAUUUUAAAUAAAUCUCUAGCACACUAUUAGUCUCCUCUGAGCUUUGGAGAAACUGAGCUUCUAUCUAUUCAAGCUGAGGGGGAAUCAGUUGAAGGUGCCUAUAUUAAAUGAGACUAUAUUUAAAAGAAGAAAAACUACCACAACAAGAGGACAUAGUCUUAAAUUAGAGGGACAAAGGUUUAAAACUAAUAUCAGGAAGUAUUACUUUACUGAGAGGGUAGUGGAUGCAUGGAAUAGCCUUUCAGCUGAAGUGGUAGAGGUUAACACAGUAAAGGAG